rnacentral:pre_miRNA from 1 species
UGUGUACUCCCUCCGUCCCAAAAUACUUGACUUCCAUUUGUCCAAAAAUGGAUGUACCUAUAUACUAAAACAUGUCUAGAUACAUAUAUAUUUUGACAAAUAGAAGGCAUGUAUUGUGCAACGGAGGGAGUAGAAU